GGCACCAUAUUUUCGUCUGGAACUGUAUUCUGUGCAUUUAUGGUGCUUACGCCCUUGAGACGGCUUAGGUUAACAGUCCUUACCGGUCUCCUAGAAAAACCAAUAGAUCAAUGCUUGCAGAACCAAAAUUCCUAUUUCUGCACGACCAACCACGCGUGCUAGCACGACUAGCACACUUAAUAGAUCUCCUCGUAAUCUUUUACUUGAUUCAAAGAAAUGUUAUAAACUUUUUUUUGGAGAUUUCUACUCUUUCAGAAUUUUUCUCUCACGGAUGUCUGGAUGCCUUGGCUUUAUCGGUAUGCAUGUCCGGCGACACAUUGGAUUAGGUAUGUACUGUUGCGUGCGGGUGAACGUGGCAUGGGAGCGAUUAGUGUGGUGAAAUGGGCUAGGUUAAGGUUCAUGGGCACCUUCAUGCAUGGGCGGACCCACGUGGAGAGCUAUGGCAGCUGUCCCCGCUUGAUUUUUUUUGUCUCAUUUAUAUUUGGCUCAUAUAUAGAAAGCAUGUCCCCCAUCAGCCCAUAGAAAUGCUCCCACUUGGCGCAUUUUGCACCACUAGCUAAAUACCCAUGUGUUGCUAUGGAUGAAAAAAUUAGACUACUCGCUAAAUUAGAUUAAGAUCACUAUUAGUACAUGUUAGCGGCACUGCCCAUCUUAUUCCAAUUUUGGUGACAAACAUUAUCCACAUGUCAAUCUUUUGCAAGAGGUUUUAUUUUUUCUUUUUUUUUCCAUUCGACCAAAAUAUGAUCGGUUCCGCAAUCACUGAUAACGGAACAAAUAUGUUUAACUGUUUGCAUUACAAAAAGAGAGGCAGUUGUUUUUUUGACAAUAGAAAAAGAUGAGAGGUUAUUUCUUCACAACAAAAGAAGGUGACGGACCGCCGCCACCAAUUGGCUCUUUUAUAAGAAUAAAAGAUUUGUCCCCUCUCAAUUUAUUUUUUGGGUCCGCCCAUGGGUUCAUGGCCUUAGGUAGGCGCGCGGUAGGCCCCCAGCCCAGUUGUGGUUUUCCAUAUACAAAUUCGGGUUUGCUAUUUAGAAAUUGUUUGAUCUUAAUCCAACGGUAAUAAGUGGGAGAGAAGGAGUGGAGAUGACACUCAGAUCUUAAUCCAACGGUUUUGACGCAUCUCAACUGAGAUUUAAAUGAUUUUCUUAAAAAUGAGUCGAUUGAGAUAUAGCCACACCCAUACAAAUUUGUAAGACAAGACGGAGAUGGAUUUACAGUAGGAAAUGUUGCACUUGCUUUGCCAGUUCACAACACAAGCGCCGAUAGAUCGUGCACGCGCAUGAUCGAUCGAGGCAUGACUAUCGAGCGCGUGCACAAUCUUAGUCAGACAACACACAUCGACACGAGGAUACUAGUACUACCCUCGUUCUCGAAAGAAAAAGAAAACAUCGACACAACGAGA
rnacentral:lncRNA from 1 species